rnacentral:rRNA from 1 species
AUGAAGGAGCACCAACUUGACGCGAUCGUUGCACCCGAGCACUAUGCUUCCAACCAUCUCGCCAUUGGUGGCCACCCCGGCAUCGUUGUGCCGGCUGGGUACAACGAGAAGGGUGUCCCUUUUGGCAUAUGCUUUGGCGGGCUGCAGGGAUACGAGCCGAGGCUGAUCGAGAUGGCAUAUGCUUUCGAGCAGGCUACUAAAGUGAGAAGGCCACCCAUGUUCAAGCUUUAG